rnacentral:tRNA from 1 species
GCCCUGGAGGCAUAAUGGUUAAGUGCUUGGCUACUAACCAAAAGGUUGGUGAUUCGAAUCCACCUGUUGGCU